rnacentral:tRNA from 1 species
UCCCAUGUAUUCUAGGGCGGUUUAGGAUAGCUGGCUCUCACCCAGCAGACCCGGGUUCGAGUCCCGGUGUGGGGA